GAGGGUAUAGCUCAGUGGUAGAGUGCAUGCUUAGCAACCACAAGGUCUUGGGUUCAAUCCCCAGUAUCUCCA
rnacentral:tRNA from 1 species